GCGUGUGAUUGCACAUAGUUCGCCUAUGUCGAUGAAUCUGUUCCACAAAACAUCGUGAUGAACGGAUCUUUUUUAAACGCGGAACCAUACGACCCGGCAAAUCGAUCUCGCCAGGAGACAAGUGAAACUUUUAUACUGUUCCGACAAUUCUGAAGAUAUGCUGGCCUGUUUGAGAUCAAGACUCGUUGCCAACUUUACCGACACGAGCGAUUCUUUAAUUCGACUAACCCUUUGCUCGAAUGCGUUUGAGAAUUGAGCACAAAGACGACAUGUAUCGUGAUAUGAGCGAGGAUUGGUAUCGAAUUGCACCGAUUAGUUUCACGUACGAGCGAAACACAUCACGAUCGCGACGCAUCAGCGAGGAAUUGCGAAAUUUUUACUUCGAGGGGGGAGGGUCAAUCGAUCCCACUCGAAGAGUCUCGCGCGUAUCUACGAAAACAGUAUAAUUAAAUAUCAGGGAGGGAGCAAAAUUGAUACUGAACACUCUCGAGCCCCCGUGUAUUUUUACCUAUCAAGGACGUUUCUGCAUGUGGAAUUCUACGACUCUUUAAGGCGUGAAGCCAUCAAGACAGAUUUCCAAUGGAGAAGAUCUUUCCAUAUUUCGACAAAUUCGGACGGUUGAAUUGUACACGUGUGUGUGGGCGAGCUUCGUGAAAAAUGGCGAACCUCUCUCUCUAAAUGAUAACGAAGGAGGCGUCACGUGGGACAGGUUUGCGCGAGACGAUUAUCUAGAGAUCUGCUUGAACUCCGUUAUGAGAACUGGUUUAUACGACGAUAGAAUGAAUGGGAAUGAAAAAACUUCAGAAAUAAUUUAAAUAAAUUUUAUUUAAUAUUAUUCUCUAUUCGAGAAGAAUUAAAGUUUCGAGUUUGUUCUAUUAGCAGGAAAAAUUUUUAUU